AUUGAACGCUGGCAGCAGGCCUAACACAUGCAAGUCGAGCGAGCGGAGGACGGGUGAGUAAUGUCUGGGAAACUGCCUGAUGGAGGGGGAUAACUACUGGAAAAGGUAGCUAAUACCGCAUACCAUCAGAUGUGCCCAGAUGGGAUUAGCUAGUAGGUGGGGUAACGGCUCACCUAGGCGACGAUCCCUAGCUGGUCUGAGAGGAUUACCCGCCACAGUGGAACUAAGACACGGUCCAGACCCCAACGCGAGGCGGCGGUGGGGAAUAGUGCACAAUGGGCGAAAGCCGGAUGCAGCCAUGCCGUGUGAGUGAAGAAGGCCUUCGGGUUGUAAAGCACUGUCAGCGGGGAGGCGUUACCCGGAGAAGAAGCACCGGCUAACUCCGUGCCAGCAGCCGCUGUAAUAC
rnacentral:rRNA from 1 species